AAGUCGUAACAAGGUUUCCGUAGGUGAACCUGCGGAAGGAUCAUUAACACGUAUCCACGUUUAAUAAUAAACUUAUCAACAAACUCGACGAACUGAACUCCCUGCUGAAUAAAACUGCGGUGUCGUAAUCCUGUCUUGGUGGGUCCCAGUAAACAUGUAGUUGUUAUAGACUUGUGUUAAGCUGAAGGCUGGCAGGCAUCGACUAUCACACUUCGACUGUGAGCCAAAACAUUUUCAGCAGGCUUACUGACUCUAUUCUCGCGUGUAGAUGCUACAAUCCUUACCAUCAUAAGGCCGAGUUUAGAACCCCAUACCAAUUUCACCAUGCUUUACCUAUUUGACUAAUUUCUAUAUUCUUUGGAGAAAUCCUUUGAAUUACUAAGAUUUAUCUUAACUAAGCACAACUCUUAGCAAUGGAUAUCUUGGUUCUC
rnacentral:misc_RNA from 1 species